rnacentral:SRP_RNA from 1 species
CCCGGAAGGGAACAACGUCACGCUGGCCCGCUGGCGCUUCGAAGACUUGCAGGGC